GCAGUAUCUCAGUGGUAGAACAUUUACAUUUUAUGCAGAAAGCCCCAGUUUCAAUCCCUGGCAUCUCCA